AUGAACGCUGGCGGCGUGCCUAAUACAUGCCAGUCGAGCGAACGGACGAGAAGCUUGCUUCUCUGAUGUUAGCGGCGGGCGGGUGAGUAACACGUGGAUAACCUACCUAUAAGACUGGGAUAACUUCGGGAAACCGGAGCUAAUACCGGAUAAUAUUUUGAACCGCAUGGUUCAAAAGUGAAAGACGGUCUUGCUGUCACUUAUAGAUGGAUCCGCGCUGCAUUAGCUAGUUGGUAAGGUAACGGCUUACCAAGGCAACGAUGCAUAGCCGACCUGAGAGGGUGAUCGGCCACACUGGAACUGAGACACGGUCCAGACUCCUACGGGAGGCAGCAGUAGGGAAUCUUCCGCAAUGGGCGAAAGCCUGACGGAGCAACGCCGCGUGAGUGAUGAAGGUCUUCGGAUCGUAAAACUCUGUUAUUAGGGAAGAACAUAUGUGUAAGUAACUGUGCACAUCUUGACGGUACCUAAUCAGAAAGCCACGGCUAACUACGUG
rnacentral:rRNA from 1 species